rnacentral:rRNA from 1 species
AAUCAACGCUGGCGGCGUGCCUCAGACAUGCAAGUCGAACGCGAAAGUCCCCUUCGGGGGACAAGUAGAGUGGCGCACGGGUGAGUAACACGUAGGUAAUCUACCUUCGGAUGGGAAUAACAAUCGGAAACGGUUAGCUAAUACCGCAUAAUGCAGCGGCACCUAAUGGUGACAGUUGUUAAAGCGGGGGAGUCGAAAGACCUCGCGUCUGAAGAGGAGCCUGCGGCGGAUUAGCUAGUUGGUAAGGUAACGGCUUACCAAGGCGACGAUCCGUAGCCGGCCUGAGAGGGCGGUCGGCCACACUGACACUGACAUACGGGUCAGACUCCUACGGGAGGCAGC